rnacentral:rRNA from 1 species
CCCUUAGAUGUCCGGGGCCGCACGCGCGCUACACUGAAGGAAUCAGCGUGGCUUUCUCCCUGACCCGAAAGGGUUGGGAAACCCGUUGAAUCUCCUUCGUGAUAGGGAUUGGGGCUUGAAAUUGUUCCCAUGAACGAGGAAUUCCCAGUAAGCGCGAGUCAUAAGCUCGCGUUGAUUACGUCCCUGCCCUUUGUACACACCGCCCGUCGCUACUACCGAUUGAACGGUUUAGUGAGGGCCUCGGAUUGGUCUCGGCCCGCUCUUUACCGGGCGGCGCCGUUGGUCGAGAAGACGCUCGAACUUGAUCGUUUAGAGGAAGUAAAAGUCGUAACA